AUUGAACGCUGGCGGCAUGCCUUACACAUGCAAGUCGAACGGCAGCACGGGAGCAAUCCUGGUGGCGAGUGGCGAACGGGUGAGUAAAGUAUCGGAACGUGCCCAGUCGUGGGGGAUAACGUAGCGAAAGUUACGCUAAUACCGCAUACGAUCUAUGGAUGAAAGCGGGGGAUCGCAAGACCUCGCGCGAUUGGAGCGGCCGAUAUCAGAUUAGGUAGUUGGUGGGGUAAAGGCUCACCAAGCCGACGAUCUGUAGCUGGUCUGAGAGGACGACCAGCCGCACUGGGACUGAGACACGGCCCAGACUCCUACGGGAGGCAGCAGUGGGGAAUUUUGGACAAUGGGCGAAAGCCUGAUCCAGCCAUGCCGCGUACAGGAUGAGGGCCUUCGGGUUGUAAACUGCUUUUGUACGGAACGAAAAGGUUUGGCCUAAUAAGCUGAGCUCAUGACGGUACCGUAAGAAUAAGCACCGGCUAACUACGUGCCAGCCGCCGCCGUAA
rnacentral:rRNA from 1 species